AUUGAACGCUGGCGGCAGGCCUAACACAUGCAAGUCGAGCGGAUGAAGGGAGCUUGCUCCUGGAUUCAGCGGCGGACGGGUGAGUAAUGCCUAGGAAUCUGCCUGGUAGUGGGGGAUAACGUCCGGAAACGGGCGCUAAUACCGCAUACGUCCUGAGGGAGAAAGUGGGGGAUCUUCGGACCUCACGCUAUCAGAUGAGCCUAGGUCGGAUUAGCUAGUUGGUGGGGUAAAGGCCUACCAAGGCGACGAUCCGUAACUGGUCUGAGAGGACGAUCAGUCACACUGGAACUGAGACACGGUCCAGACUCCUACGGGAGGCAGCAGUGGGGAAUAUUGGGCAAUGGGCGAAAGCCUGAUCCAGCCAUGCCGCGUGUGUGAAGAAGGUCUUCGGAUUGUAAAGCACUUUAAGUUGGGAGGAAGGGCAGUAAGUUAAUACCUUGCUGUUUUGACGUUACCAACAGAAUAAGCACCGGCUAACUUCGUG
rnacentral:rRNA from 1 species